UUUCCGUAGGUGAACCUGCGGAAGGAUCAUUACUGAGUCGUCGACACGAGUUGUUGCUGGUCCCUGAACAGGGGACACGUGCACGCUCUGUUUACACAUCCACUCACACCUGUGCACCCUCUGUAGUUCUAUGGUCUGGGGGGCCCUGCCUCCCUUCCGUGGUUCUGCAUCUUUACACACACACCGUAAUAAAGUCUUAUGGAAUGUACACCGCGUUUAACGCAAUACAAUACAACUUUCAGCAACGGAUCUCUUGGCUCUCGCAUCGAUGAAGAACGCAGC
rnacentral:misc_RNA from 1 species